AGUGAACGCUGGCGGUAGGCCUAACACAUGCAAGUCGAACGGCAGCACAGUAAGAGCUUGCUCUUACGGGUGGCGAGUGGCGGGCGGGUGAGGAAUACAACGGAAUCUACUUUUUCGUGGGGGAUAACGUAGGGAGACUUACGAUAAUACAGCAUACGACCUACGGGGGAAGGCAGGGGAUCUUCGGACCUUGCGCGAUUGAAUGAGCCGAUGUCGGAUUAGCUAGUGGGCGGGGUAAAGGCCAACCAAGGCGAGGAUCCGUAGCUGGUGUGAGAGGAGGGUAGGCGGCAUGGGAACUGAGACACGGUCAAGGCUCCUACGAGAGGGAGCAGUGGCGAAUAGUGGACAAUAGUCGGAAGUCUUAUCCAGCGAUAGCGCGUGGGUGAAGGAGGCGUUCGGGUCGUAAAGCCCUUUUGUUGGGAAAGAAAAGCAGCAGGUUGAGACGCAGCGGUAGUGACGGUACCCAAAGAAGAAGCACCGGCUAACUUCGUG
rnacentral:rRNA from 1 species